rnacentral:rRNA from 1 species
AACGAACGCUGGCGGCAUGCCUAACACAUGCAAGUCGAACGAGACCUUCGGGUCUAGUGGCGCACGGGUGCGUAACGCGUGGGAACCUGCCCUUAGGUUCGGAAUAACUCCCCGAAAGGGGUGCUAAUACCGGAUAAUGUCUUCGGACCAAAGAUUUAUCGCCUUUGGAUAGGCCCGCGUUGGAUUAGCUAGUUGGUAGGGUAAAAGCCUACCAAGGCGACGAUCCAUAGCUGGUCUGAGAGGAUGAUCAGCCACACUGGGACUGAGACACGGCCCAGAAUCCUACGGGAGGGAGCAGUGGGGAAUAUUGGACAAUGGGCGAAAGCCUGAUCCGGCAAUGCCGCGUGAGUGAUGAAGGCCUUAGGGUUGUAAAGCUCUUUUACCCGGGAUGAUAAUGACAGUACCGGGAGAAUAAGCUCCGGCUAACCCCGUG